UACGGAGGGUGCAAGCGUUAAUCGGAAUUACUGGGCGUAAAGCGCACGCAGGCGGUCUGUCAAGUCGGAUGUGAAAUCCCCGGGCUCAACCUGGGAACUGCAUCCGAAACUGGCAGGCUAGAGUCUUGUAGAGGGGGGUAGAAUUCCAGGUGUAGCGGUGAAAUGCGUAGAGAUCUGGAGGAAUACCGGUGGCGAAGGCGGCCCCCUGGACAAAGACUGACGCUCAGGUGCGAAAGCGUGGGGAGCAAACAGGAUUAGAUACCCUGGUAGUCCACGCCGUAAACGAUGUCGACUUGGAGGUUGUGCCCUUGAGGCGUGGCUUCCGGAGCUAACGCGUUAAGUCGACCGCCUGGGGAGUACGGCCGCAAGGUUAAA
rnacentral:rRNA from 1 species